GAUGAACGCUGGCGGCGUGCUUAACACAUGCAAGUCGAGCGAACGGACGAGAAGGUUUCUUCUCUGAUAGUAGCGUCGGACGGGGUAGUAACACGUUGAGUACCUCCUUAUUAGACUGGGAUAACUUCGGGAAUCGGGAGCUAAUACCAGAGGAUAUUUUGAACCGCAUGGUUCAAAAGUAAAAUACGGUCUUGCUGUCUCUUAUGGAGAGAUCCGCGCUGCAUUAGGUGGAUGGUCAGGUAACGGCUUAGCCAGGCAACGAUGCAAAGCCGAACUGAGAGGGGGAUCGGCAGCACGAGAGGUGAGACGCGGUCCAGCGUCCUGAGGGAGGCAGCAGUCGGGAAUCUUCCGCAAUGGGCGGAAGGCUGACGGAGCAACGGGGCGUGAGUGAUAAAGAUCAUCGGAGCGUGAAGCUCGGCUAUUGGGGGAGAACAUAUGUCUAAGUAAAUGUACACAUCAUGACGGUACCUAAUCAGAAAGCCACGGCUAACUACGUG
rnacentral:rRNA from 1 species